AUCGCUUCUCGGCCUUUUGGCUAAGAUCAAGUGUAAAAUUUGCUUACAUUUUUAUUUAUUUUUGAGAGAGAGAGACAGAGUGUGGGUGGGAGAGAGGCAGAGAGAGAUGGAGACACAGAAUCCAAAGUAGGCUCCAGGCUCUGCACUGUCAGCAUAGAGCCCAAUGCAGGGCUGGAACCCAC